rnacentral:rRNA from 1 species
CAGCAGCCACGGUAAUACGGAGGGAGCUAGCGUUGUUCGGAAUUACUGGGCGUAAAGCGCACGUAGGCGGCUUUGUAAGUUAGAGGUGAAAGCCUGGAGCUCAACUCCAGAAUUGCCUUUAAGACUGCAUCGCUUGAAUCCGGGAGAGGUGAGUGGAAUUCCGAGUGUAGAGGUGAAAUUCGUAGAUAUUCGGAAGAACACCAGUGGCGAAGGCGGCUCACUGGACCGGCAUUGACGCUGAGGUGCGAAAGCGUGGGGAGCAAACAGGAUUAGAUACCCGCGUAGUCCCUGUCUCUUAUAC